rnacentral:tRNA from 1 species
GCCAUUUUAGCUUAGUGGUAGAGCGUUUGCUUCGUAAGCUAAAGGUCGUCAGCUCUAACCUGGCAUGUGGGUG